AACUCUUCUUCUCCGAGGGUGUGAUCAAUGGAAACCAGACAGUCAAGGUCGAGGAGAUCCUAGAUGUCUUGAAUCAACGUAGCAUACUCAUGAUUUCUCCUGUUCUUAGAUUCUCCGACAUUAUUGGUGAUGAUGCUACAAUAGAAAAAAUUGGACCUCCAGACAAAGUGAUCAGUGCAUUUGGUCCUGAAAUGAUUGGAGAAAAUGUUGAAGGGAAAGUUCUUAGUUCAAAUGUUGCAGAACAUGAAGGGAGAGCUUACUAUUAGAGCCUCCUCAUAUUUUCAUUACUGCCACCGCUGCUGGCAACCGCCUAUACUUGUUUGGUGUAACCGGUAAUGGCCUUCAGUGGAAGAGACACUACAAUGAUUUGAAGAAGAUAUCUGACUCUUUUCGAGUUGUAUAAUUGGAAUUUCCAAUAAAUUGAAAAUAUGAAACUUUCUUAUGUGUAGAAUAGUGUUGUAAUGCAGAAAUUUCCCACUACUUUUCCUGAUUGGGAUUUCUGUGAAUCAAGAGAUCAAAUAUGUAAAGUCUAUGUACCUUCAAUAUACCAUAACAGUUUUGU